GUCUACGGCCAUACCACCCUGAACGCGCCCGAUCUCGUCUGAUCUCGGAAGCUAAGCAGGGUCGGGCCUGGUUAGUACUUGGAUGGGAGAAAUAUCAUGAGGCAACCUCAAGGCCAUGUAAUAC
rnacentral:rRNA from 1 species